UACGUAGGGGGCAAGCGUUGCCCGGAUUUAUUGGGCGUAAAGAGCGUGUAGGCGGCCUUACAGGUCAGCUGUGAAAACUCGAGGCUCAACCUCGAGACGUCGGUUGAAACCGUAAGGCUAGAGUCCGGAAGAGGAGAGUGGAAUUCUCGGUGUAGCGGUGAAAUGCGCAGAUAUCGGGAAGAACACCCGUGGCGAAGGCGGCGUUCUGGACUGUUUCUGACACUGAAAAACGAAAGCCAGGGGAGCAAACGGG
rnacentral:rRNA from 1 species